rnacentral:rRNA from 1 species
GACGAACGCUGGCGGCGUGCUUAACACAUGCAAGUCGAACGAUGAAGCCGGAGCUUGCUCUGGUGAAUUAGUGGCGAACGGGUGAGUAACACGUGAGUAACCUGCCCUUGACUCUGGGAUAACUGCUAGAAAUGGUAGCUAAUACCGGAUACGACCCUCGGCGGCAUCGCCAGGGGGUGGAAAGAAUUUCGGUCAAGGAUGGACUCGCGGCCUAUCAGCUAGUUGGUGAGGUAACGGCUCACCAAGGCGACGACGGGUAGCCGGCCUGAGAGGGUGACAGGCCACACUGGGACUGAGACACGGCCCAGACUCCUACGGGAGGCAGCAGUGGGGAAUAUUGCACAAUGGGCGCAAGCCUGAUGCAGCAACGCCGCGUGAGGGAUGACGGCCUUCGGGUUGUAAACCUCUUUUAGUAGGGAAGAAGCGAAAGUGACGGUACCUGCAGAAAAAGCACCGGCUAACUACGUGCCAGCAGCCGCCGCCG